rnacentral:tRNA from 1 species
GGAGAAGUAGGAAAAUUGGUAACCCCAUCGGACUGUAAAUCCGACGCGAAAGCACUGCUGGUUCGACUCCAGCUUUCUCCACCA